CGAAACACCAGCUCCCAAUCACCGAAUUUAAGCAACGUCGAGCCUGAUCAGUACCUUGAUGGGUGACCGCUUGGGAAUACUAGGGGCUGUAU